rnacentral:rRNA from 1 species
AAUAGAUACCCAGGUAGUCCACGCCGUAAACGAUGAGUGCUAAGUGUUAGAGGGUUUACGCCCUUUAGUGCUGCAGCAAACGCAUUAAGCACUCCGCCUGGGGAGUACGGUCGCAAGACUGAAACUCAAAGGAAUUGACGGGGGCCCGCACAAGCGGUGGAGCAUGUGGUUUAAUUCGAAGCAACGCGAAGAACCUUACCAGGUCUUGACAUCCCACUGCCCGGUAUAGAGAUAUACCUUUCCCUUCGGGGACAGUGGUGACAGGUGGUGCAUGGUUGUCGUCAGCUCGUGUCGUGAGAUGUUGGGUUAAGUCCCGCAACGAGCGCAACCCUUGAUCUUAGUUGCCAGCAUUUAGUUGGGCACUCUAAGGUGACUGCCGGUGACAAACCGGAGGAAGGUGGGGAUGACGUCAAAUCAUCAUGCCCCUUAUGACCUGGGCUACACACGUGCUACAAUGGAUGGUACAAGGGCUGCAAGACCGCGAGGUCAAGCCAAUCCCAUAAAACCAUUCUCAGUUCGGAUUGCAGG